GUGCUCUCUCCGGCAACACAUACACUAAAAUUAGAACAAUGCAAAGAAGAUCAGCAUAGCCUUGCACAAGGAAAACAUGCAAAUUCGUGAAGCAUUCCACAUCGUU
ensembl:snRNA U6 U6 spliceosomal RNA